rnacentral:rRNA from 1 species
UACGUAGGGCGCAAGCGUUGUCCGGAUUUAUUGGGCGUAAAGAGCUCGUAGGCGGUCUGUCGCGUCGGCUGUGAAAACCCGAGGCUCAACCUCGGGCCUGCAGUCGAUACGGGCAGACUAGAGUGCGGUAGGGGAGACUGGAAUUCCUGGUGUAGCGGUGAAAUGCGUAGAUAUCGGGAGGAAUACCAGUGGCGAAGGCGGCCUUCUGGACGGAUACUGACGCUGAGGCGCGAAAGCCAGGGGAGCAAACGGG